CCACGCGGCUCUGAGUGGGGAAGAGCUCAGCCCCCUCCGGAGCCACGCGGCUGCCGCGCGGUGAACCGGGGUAAGCUGCCUGGGGUCUCUUUCUCAAUGUCUUGGUUAUGAUGGAUGGUGACCUGUGGAUCCUCCCUCUAGACAAGAUAGGGCCCUGGAUUUGACAGCAAGAAUAACAUUAUCAUGGAUACAGUUUGUACCAGAUAAACAAGUUGAUACCAGACAUUCCAGUGGAAAUGUGAGAGAGAAGAGGAGUCUACAACAAUCCUGAAAGGAAUUAGAACAUGACCUGGAGGCAUUACCUGCAACUGGAAACCCAAAUGAUUUUUGAGACCAAAGUUUGGAGAUAUUCUUGAAAAGAAGAUGGUAAUGCAUAAAGGAAUUCUCUCUCAUGAACUGACGAGCAACAAAUCAACAUUAGCACAGGAAUAUCA